rnacentral:rRNA from 1 species
UUGAAAGUGCCUUUGGGUGUAAGUAGAGUGGUGGAUGGGUGAGUAAUGCGUGGGAAUCUGUCCUGCAGUGGGGGACAACCCGAGGAAAUUUGGGUUAAUAUUGUAUAUGUUUUAUGGGAGAAAGGGGGUUUUGGUUCUCGCUGCAGGAUGAGCCCGCGUUUGAUUAGUUUGUUGGUGGGGUAAUGGUCUACCAAGGUGAUGAUUGGUAGCUGGUUUGAGAGGAUGAUCAGCUACAUUGGGAUUGAGAUAUGGUUUAGACUCCUAUGGGAGGUAGUAGUGGGGAAUAUUGGACAAUGGGCGAAAGCCUGAUCCAGUAAUGCCGCGUGUGUGAAGAAGGCCUGCGGGUUGUAAAGCACUUUCAGUGGGGAAGAAUGAUUCGGUGUUAAUAGUGCCGGGUUUUGAUGUUAUCCACAGAAGAAGCACCGGCUAACUCCGUGCCAGUAGUUGUGGUAAUAUGGAGGGUGCAAGCGUUAAUCGGAAUCACUGGGCGUAAAGCGCGCGUAGGCGGUUUGGUAAGUCAGAUGUGAAAGUCCCGGGUUUAAUCCGGGAAUUGUAUUUGAUAUUGCCGGACUAGAGUAUGGUAGAGGGGGGUGGAAUUUUAGGUGUAGUGGUGAAAUGUGUAGAUAUUUGGAGGAAUAUUAGUGGUGAAGGUGGCCCCCUGGACCAAUACUGACGCUGAGGUGCGAAAGCGUGGGGAGUAAAUAGGAUUAGAUAUCCUGGUAGUUUAUGUUGUAAAUGAUGUCGACUAGCCGUUGGAUCCAUUUAAGGGUUUAGUGGCGCAGUUAAUGCGAUAAGUCGACCGCCUGGGGAGUACGGCCGUAAGGUUAAAACUCAAAGGAAUUGACGGGGGCCCGCACAAGCGUGGAGCAUGUGGUUUAAUUUGAUGCAAUGUGAAAAAUUUUACCAGCCCUUGACAUCCUUGGAAUCGGGCAGAGAUGUCCGAGUGCCUUCGGGAGCCAAGUGACAGGUGUUGUAUGGCUGUCGUCAGCUCGUGUUGUGAGAUGUUGGGUUAAGUCCCGUAAUGAGCGUAACCCUUGUCCUUAGUUGCCAGCAUGUAAUGGUGGGAACUUUAAGGAGACUGCCGGUGAUAAACCGGAGGAAGGUGGGGAUGACGUUAAGUCAUUAUGGCCCUUAUGGGCUGGGCUACACACGUGCUACAAUGGUCGGUACAGAUGGUUGCUAACCUGUGAAGGGGAGCUAAUCCGAGAAAACCGGUCGUAGUCCGGAUUGCAGUCUGUAAUUUGACUGCAUGAAGUCGGAAUCGCUAGUAAUCGCGAAUUAGUAUGUUGCGGUGAAUACGUUCCCGGGCCUUGUAUAUACCGCCCGUCACACCAUGGGAGUUGGCUGCACCAGAAGUAGAUAGCUUAAUCUUUGGGAGGGCGUUUAUUAUGGUGUGGUCAAUGACUGGGGUGAAGUCGUAACAAGGUA